rnacentral:tRNA from 1 species
AGAGAAAUUGGAAUAAAAGUAGCUGCUAACUAACUUUUUAAGCGGUUAAACUCCGUUUUUUCUCUA